UACGUAGGGUGCGAGCGUUGUCCGGAAUUAUUGGGCGUAAAGAGCUUGUAGGCGGUCUGUCGCGUCUGCUGUGAAAAUCCGGGGCUCAACCCCGGACUUGCAGUGGGUACGGGCAGACUAGAGUGUGGUAGGGGAGACUGGAAUUCCUGGUGUAGCGGUGAAAUGCGCAGAUAUCAGGAAGAACACCCGUGGCGAAGGCGGCUCUCUGGGACGGUACUGACGCUGAGGCGCGAAAGCGUGGGGAGCAAACAGG
rnacentral:rRNA from 1 species